rnacentral:rRNA from 1 species
GUCUACGGCCAUAUUACGUUGAAAACACCGGUUCUCGUCCGAUCACCGAAUUUAUGCAACGUCGGGCUCGGUUAGUACUUGGAUGGGUGACCGCCUGGGAAUACCGGGAGCUGUAGACU